UCCAUGUUAAUAUUAGGAGAUGUCUACGAAACACGACAGCGAUUCCACCUCUGGAGAAUCGUUAUAUAAUGUACUUGGCGUGACAAAAACAUCAACUCCUCAAGACAUUAAAAACGCCUACAGGCUGCUUGCCUUACAAUAUCACCCAGACAGGAAUCUAGAGAACCCAGAGGCAGAGGAGAAG